rnacentral:rRNA from 1 species
AUACGUAGGGGGCGAGCGUUGUCCGGAAUGAUUGGGCGUAAAGGGCGCGUAGGCGGCGCGGUAAGUCUGGAGUGAAAGUCCUGCUUUCAAGGUGGGAAUUGCUUUGGAUACUGCCGCGCUUGAGUGCAGGAGAGGUUAUCGGAAUUCCCGGUGUAGCGGUGAAAUGCGUAGAGAUCGGGAGGAACACCAGUGGCGAAGGCGGGUAACUGGACUGCAACUGACGCUGAGGCGCGAAAGUGUGGGGAGCAAACAGGAUUAGAUACCCUGGUGGUCCACACUGUAAACGAUGAAUGCUAGGUGUAAGAGGUAUCGACCCCUUUUGUGCCGGAGUCAACACAAUAAGCAUUCCGCCUGGGGAGUACGGCCGCAAGGUUGAAACUCAAAGGAAUUGACGGGG